CGAACGCUGGCGGCGUGCUUAACACAUGCAAGUCAAGGGGGCCCAGCAAUGGGCAACCGGCGAACGGGUGCGUAACACGUGUGCAACCUUCCGAAAUAUGGGGGAUAGCCGGCCUAACGGCCGAGUAAUACCGCAUACGCUCUCGAUGAGGCAUUUCAUUGAGAGGAAACCUCCGGGGUAUUUCGAGGGGCUCGCGGCCUAUCAGCUAGUUGGCGAGGCAACGGCUCACCAAGGCAACGACGGGUAGCUGGUCUGAGAGGAUGGCCAGCCACAUUGGGACUGAGAUACGGCCCAGACUCCUACGGGAGGCAGCAGUGGGGAAUCUUGCGCAAUGGCCUAACGGCUGACGCAGCGACGCCGCGUGUGGGAUGAAGCUCUUCGGAGUGUAAACCACUGUUGCCCGGGACGAAUAGCUCGAUUAAUCGAGCCUGACAGUACCGGGUGAGGAAGCACCGGCUAACUCCGUGCCAGCAGCCGCGGUAAUACGGGGGGUGCGAGCGUUGUCCGGAAUCACUGGGCGUAAAGGGCGCGUAGGUGGUUUGAUAAGGGUGUGGUGAAAGUCCGGGGCUCAACCCCGGAUCUGCCGUGCCGACUGUCAAGCUCGAGGACUGUAGAGGCAGACGGAAUUCCGGGUGUAGCGGUGGAAUGCGUAGAGAUCCGGAGGAAGACCGGUGGCGAAGGCGGUCUGCUGGGCAGUUUCUGACACUGAGGCGCGACAGCGUGGGGAGCAAA
rnacentral:rRNA from 1 species